AGCGGCGAACGGGUGAGUAACGCGUGGGUAACGUACCCCGAACACAAGUAUAGCGAGCCGAAAGGUUAGGUAAUACUCGAUGAAGCCAUUCCUGGGCAUCUUGGAAUGGUCAAAGGGCGACCUCUAUUUAUAAGUUGUCGGUUUGGGAUCGGCCCGCGUCAUAUCAGCUUGUUGGUAAGGUAACGGCUUACCAAGGCUAAGACGUGUAGCUGGUCUGAGAGGAUGAUCAGCCACAUCGGGACUGAGACAGUGCCCGGACCUCCACGGAGGGCUGCAGCAACGAAUCAUCCGCAAUGCGCGAAAGCGUGACGGUGCGACGCCGCGUGCGGGACGAAGCCCCUAGGGGUGUAAACCGCUGUCAGGGGAAACCACACCGAUAGGGCAAAUAGUCCUUGAGGUAGAGGGAACCCAGAGGAAGCCACGGCUAACUCUGUGCCAGCAGCCGCGGUAAGACAGAGGUGGCUAGCGUUGCUCGGAAUCACUGGGCUUAAAGGGUGCGUAGGCGGCUUAUCAAGCAUUAUGUGAAAGCCCUCGGCUCAACUGAGGAAUUGCAUAAUGAACUGGUAAGCUUGAGGUGCGUCGGGGCCGGAAGAACUCUGGGUGGAGCGGUGAUAUGCGUAGAUAUCCAGGGGAAUGCCAGUGGCGAAGGCGUCCGGCUAGGCGCAAUCUGACGCUAAGGCACGAAAGCGUGGGUAGCGAACGGGAUUAGAUACCCCGG
rnacentral:rRNA from 1 species